AACCUAGCACACCUGCGGUGUGUACCUGCGGAGGGAUCAUUACAAGUGACCCCGGUCUAACCACCGGGAUGUUCAUAACCCUUUGUUGUCCGACUCUGUUGCCUCCGGGGCGACCCUGCCUUCGGGCGGGGGCUCCGGGUGGACACUUCAAACUCUUGCGUAACUUUGCAGUCUGAGUAAACUUAAUUAAUAAAUCAAAACUUUCAACAACGGAUCU
rnacentral:misc_RNA from 1 species